rnacentral:tRNA from 1 species
UGGUGUUAUAGCUCAGUUGGUAGAGCAAAGGACUGAAAAUCCGUGGGUCCCCGGUUCGAUUCCUGGGAACACCACCCA